rnacentral:lncRNA from 1 species
GACCAGUCUGACUGCACCUGCAUCCUUAGCUCAGAGCAUCCCUGGAGCAUCUAAGAGGAAAGCGCAGCUAGCAACCAGGGAUCGUACUGCAGGGGCAAUCGGUCAUGCACCUUCCCCUCCCCUGAUCUGGAGGUCUACAGCCGCGGCCUCGGUACUGACCGAGAUUCCCAAAGUUGUCUGACCUCUGCAAAAGUGUUUCUAUCAACAGCCUCUGAUUACAACAUGGCUGAGAUCACAAAUAUACGCCCCAGCUUUGGCAGUCAGUGAGGCGACUCAACAGGUAUAGACACCUGCUGUCCAGUCUGACCACAGAGCUCAGCUCCUGGGACCCACAUGAUGGAAGGAAAUAGCCACGUGUCCUGGUCCUCUGACCUCUGCAUAUGUCAUCGCAAGGACUCACCUACAAAUUAAUGAAUGGCAUAAAACAUUUAAAAAAAAAUUAAGUGUGCUCAAGUAAUUCAAAUUAACACUUCAAUGAGUUCAAUUCAAAGAACAUGUCCCCUAUACACAGCAAUUCACACAGAGGUCAAAACUAUGUUCCACAGAUACUCAAAAGUCAAGUAAGGGUUUAUGGCUAUAAUGUAAUAGAGUAAGCAUUGUACCAAGUCCCCAUUCUACUUGGAGCCGCGCUGGCCCUUACCUGGAGCUCUGGGACAGAGAGCACAGACUCCUCAGAAGCUGAUGACAGUUCAUCUUCUUCAUCUUGGGUGAGGUCAUCAAAGUCCUCCUCCUCCUCUUCCUCAGGCCCGUCCUUCUCCCCUCCAGUGUCUGGUCCUGCUGGGGUUCCCACAGACUGGCCGUCAGCAUUGGCCGAGUCCUCAAGCUUCCCUGGAGGACCGCUCAGCCCCCCGCCCUGGCCCAUGGAGGACAGAGUGCUUUUUGGCAGUCCUCUGCUUGCAUGACUACUUGUUCGUCCCUCAGCAGCAGCGUCUUGGGGCACAGAAGGGGAUUUGGCGGCCUGCGUGUCUUCCCUCUGCAGGACUGUCUGUUUGCUCAUCUCACUGGCACUACUCGGCUUCUCCUGUGGGGACUCACUGUCUAAUUCCAUAGAGCGUUCCUCUUUCACUUCCUCCCCAAUGUCCUGCUUGGGAAGGUUGCUGGAGAUUUCCACCAUGCAAUCUUCAGCUUCCAUCUUGACCAUAUUUAAUAAAUCCUUCGAUGGAGAGCUCAGAGAGUCCUGGAGAUUCUGAGGCAAUGGCUCCACAGCAUGCCCACCAUCUUCUGUUUUCACAACCGUCCAGCCACAGGCACUCUUUUCAGAAGAGCCUUCCUGGCUUUCUGUUUUGACAACAGCCCAGCUGCAGGUACUGGAUUCAGAGAAUGCUUCCUGGCUUCCCGUAUCUGCUGAAGAAUGCCAGGACUUGGGCUCCUCUUUGGAGAAGACAGUGGUACAGAGAGGAGUUAGCUCCUGGGGUUUUAAUUUGGACUCAGGGUUCUGAGGAGCAUUUUUCCCUUCAGCAACAUCCAACUUCACUUGGGCCUUAUCUUCAGGAAUAGAUGUCACAGGAAGAGUCAGAGGAUUGCUGGAAACAAUUAGGGGGGAGAUGGAGGAGGCCACAAGGGGCUGGUUUAAUGAACAGGGGAAAGUAGUGGGGUUAACAAGGAAAGUGGUGAUAGGAAUGGUCUGGGGACUUGGUGCCACAGCUGCAGUAACAGGCUGGAUCAUGUUACAGCCACCACCAAGGCUCACAACCUUUACUGUAGUGGCAGGAACUGUGAAGAUGACGGGUUUCAGGUGGAUGACGGGAGCAGGCUUCACACAGGGGGACGCCUUGGCUCCUUUUCUUCUUGUGGGCUUCCACCUCACAUAUGGCUUUCGAAAUUCAGAAGGGGCCAGAGAGGGCAGCAUUAACUUGGGUGCAGAGCAAGAAGGAGGUGCUGACUGAGUCUCAGACAAGGGGAAGCUGGUCCUGGCUUCAGACCCACAAGGCGUAGCAGGCAGUGAUGUUGGAGACUCAAAACCAUCUUCUCCACGAACCCCCACUGAAGGGAACCCUGGAAGUGUCUGUAAGACAGCGGCUGGCUGGAUCAGAUGAGGAAUCUGGACCACUGUGUUGCUUGGAGGAACUUCUGACUGAGUUGGCCACGUUGCCAUUUUCCCAGGGUUGAACACAGGCUGAACAGAGGGGCUGGGUUGGAUAAGGAGGGGCUUCUGGACCAAUGGCCACUUCUGUGGCCAAGCCUUUCUGGAGAAAGGCUUGGAAUCGGGCUUCAGUUUGAGCACCACACCCUUGGGUAGCAGCAGUGGGUACUGAGGUUCAUCUCCCAGGGCAGAGCUGGCUUUCUGUAAGUGCUGAUCGGUGCUGCUCUCAGUGGCUGUGGUCACACUUCCUCCCUCUGUAGCGCCUUCGGAUAUGUUCCGCAGUUCAUCCUGAAUGGACUGUAGACUGGCCUGCAGGACAAGAACACUCUGCUCUAGAACACAGCAGACGUUAAGGGAAAGGAAAACUUAGCUUUCUGGAUUCUGAGCACUACUGAAAGGGAGCCGCAACAUAUGGUUCCAAGACGGGUAUUUCUCUGCAUCAAUUUUCUAACACAAGAACAUUUCAAUUCUAUAAACUCGUCCAGAAUUUACAUUGGGAAAUUAUCAUGUAACUCCUACAGGAGCUGUCAGUGACUUUUGCCUCACACAGAUUUUGAAGGAAGGCCUGACCUUUAACCAGAAUGGAAGCCGGUGUUCUUCCUUCUCAAAAGGUGGCUUCCACUGAUGUGGCUGGAUCUCUUCACAGCACCUCACCAGAACUGGCAGCUGUUUGGUCUUCUUAUAAAACUAAACAUGAAAA